AUUGAACGCUGGCGGCAUGCCUUACACAUGCAAGUCGAACGGCAGCGGACCUUCGGGUGCCGGCGAGUGGCGAACGGGUGAGUAAUGUAUCGGAACGUACCUUUCAGUGGGGGAUAACGUAGCGAAAGUUACGCUAAUACCGCAUAUUCUGUGAGCAGGAAAGCAGGGGAUCGCAAGACCUUGCGCUGAUUGAGCGGCCGAUAUCAGAUUAGCUAGUUGGUGAGGUAAAGGCUCACCAAAGCGACGAUCUGUAGCGGGUCUGAGAGGAUGAUCCGCCACACUGGAACUGAGACACGGUCCAGACUCCUACGGGAGGCAGCAGUGGGGAAUUUUGGACAAUGGGGGCAACCCUGAUCCAGCCAUGCCGCGUGAGUGAAGAAGGCCUUCGGGUUGUAAAGCUCUUUCGUCCGGGAAGAAAUCGCAUCAGCUAAUACCUGGUGUGGAUGACGGUACCGGAAUAAGAAGCACCGGCUAACUACGUGCCAGCAGCCGCAGUAAUAC
rnacentral:rRNA from 1 species